AGAGUUUGAUCCUGGCUCAGGACGAACGCUGGCGGCACGCUUAACACAUGCAAGUCGAACGAGAGAAGAGGAGCUUGCUUUUCUGAUCUAGUGGCGGACGGGUGAGUAACACGUGAGCAAUCUGCCUUUCAGAGGGGGAUACCGAUUGGAAACGAUCGUUAAUACCGCAUAACAUAAUUGAACCGCAUGAUUUGAUUAUCAAAGAUUUAUCGCUGAAAGAUGAGCUCGCGUCUGAUUAGCUAGUUGGUAAGGUAACGGCUUACCAAGGCGACGAUCAGUAGCCGGACUGAGAGGUUGAUCGGCCACAUUGGGACUGAGACACGGCCCAGACUCCUACGGGAGGCAGCAGUGGGGAAUAUUGCACAAUGGAGGAAACUCUGAUGCAGCGAUGCCGCGUGAGGGAAGAAGGUUUUAGGAUUGUAAACCUCUGUCUUCAGGGACGAAAAAAGACGGUACCUGAGGAGGAAGCUCCGGCUAACUACGUGCCAGCAGCCGCGGUAAUACGUAGGGAGCGAGCGUUGUCCGGAAUUACUGGGUGUAAAGGGAGCGUAGGCGGGAUCGCAAGUCAGAUGUGAAAACUAUGGGCCUAACCCAUAAACUGCAUUUGAAACUGUGGUUCUUGAGUGAAGUAGAGGUAAGCGGAAUUCCUAGUGUAGCGGUGAAAUGCGUAGAUAUUAGGAGGAACAUCAGUGGCGAAGGCGGCUUACUGGGCUUUAACUGACGCUGAGGCUCGAAAGCGUGGGGAGCAAACAGGAUUAGAUACCCUGGUAGUCCACGCCGUAAACGAUGAUUACUAGGUGUGGGGGGACUGACCCCUUCCGUGCCGCAGCAAACGCAAUAAGUAAUCCACCUGGGGAGUACGACCGCAAGGUUGAAACUCAAAGGAAUUGACGGGGGCCCGCACAAGCAGUGGAGUAUGUGGAUUAAUUCGAAGCAACGCGAAGAACCUUACCAGGUCUUGACAUCGUAUGCAUAGCUCAGAGAUGAGUGGAAUCUCUUCGGAGACAUAUAGACAGGUGGUGCAUGGUUGUCGUCAGCUCGUGUCGUGAGAUGUUGGGUUAAGUCCCGCAACGAGCGCAACCCUUACUGUUAGUUGCUACGCAAGAGCACUCUAGCAGGACUGCCGUUGACAAAACGGAGGAAGGUGGGGAUGACGUCAAAUCAUCAUGCCCCUUAUGACCUGGGCCUCACACGUACUACAAUGGCUGUCAACAGAGGGAAGCAAAGCCGCGAGGUGGAGCGAACCCCUAAAAGCAGUCUUAGUUCGGAUUGUAGGCUGCAACCCGCCUACAUGAAGUCGGAAUUGCUAGUAAUCGCAGAUCAGCAUGCUGCGGUGAAUACGUUCCCGGGCCUUGUACACACCGCCCGUCACGCCAUGGGAGUCGGUAACACCCGAAGCCUGUAGUCUAACCGCAAGGAGGACGCAGUCGAAGGUGGGAUUGAUGACUGGGGUGAAGUCGUAACAAGGUA
rnacentral:rRNA from 1 species